ensembl:lncRNA
CGCUACUGCAGCGCUGAGGAAACGUGUUUGAUGGUUUCGUGAUUUGUCUGGCAUCUGACAACUAAGUUACUGAAGUAAAGCCGCCUUCUGAAGUUCUGGGAAUGUCUGUGUGCGGUUUCCACAGAUGUUUGUAUUAGCAUACCAACUCUGUAUUGUGUAUAUUCUGUAUUGAGUACAAGUUCCAAUAAACAAUGUCUUUAAUCUCUGGCCUGUUUUUUUUACAAUGUGUUAAGUUUGCGGAGACAGGUGGUGUCCAUGUAUUUUGCAGUUGAAAUUAAAUACCCAGAAAUCAAUGACAGUCUGCACGUGUUAUGUAGGAUGAAAGAAUUGGUGCAUUGUUGCACAUUUGUCAGUUUAAGAGAUUUAUUUAACAGCCAUGCCAUAUUGCAAAAGAUGUGCUGACAUUUAACACUAAAUGUGACUAGAUAUAACCUGAAAUGCCUAUUUUAUGUGAAGUUAUUUCUUAACUUCAUUCUGGUGUUAUCUUUUUAAAAGGGACACUCAGUUUUU